CGAAUGGACUAGCCCCGAAAAUCGAUGGCGCUAAAGCGUGUGACCGAUACUCAACCAUUGUGGCGAAAGUGAGGCUACAAUGAGUAGGAGGGCGUGAGCGUUUGUUAAGAAGCCUCUGACGUGAGUCUGGGUUGAACAGCGUUUAGUGCAGAUCUUGGUGGUAGUAGCAAUUAUUCAAAUGAGAACUUUGAAGGCCGAAGUGGAGAAGGAUUCCGUGAGAACAGCAAUUGGUCACGGGUGACUCGAUCCUAAGACAUGGGGGAAAUCCUUGUUAAGUGCUCCAUUUGGAGCGUAGUCGAAAGGGAAUGAGGUUAAUAUUCCUCAAGCUGGAUGUGGGUGUUGUAUGGCAACAUAAAUGAGCUCAGAAACACCAGUGUGAGCCUCUGGAAGAGUUAUCUUUUCUUUUUAACAGGCUAACGACCUUGAAAUUGGAUUAUCCAGAGAUAAGGUUGUAUGCUUGGAAGAGCACCUUGCUUUUCGAGGUGUCAGGUGCGCUCACA
rnacentral:rRNA from 1 species